rnacentral:rRNA from 1 species
UACGAGGGGGGCAAGCGUUGUUCGGAAUUACUGGGCGUAAAGAGUGCGUAGGUGGUUUGUUAAGUCUGCUGUGAAAUCCCCGGGCUCAACCUGGGAAUGGCAGUGGAUACUGGCAAGCUAGAGUGCGGUAGAGGGUAGUGGAAUUCCCGGUGUAGCAGUGAAAUGCGUAGAGAUCGGGAGGAACACCAGUGGCGAAGGCGGCUACCUGGACCAGCACUGACACUGAAGCACGAAAGCGUGGGGAGCAAACAGG